UCCGCCAAAUGGAGAAGAAGAAUAAGAUAUAUCUCUCCCGGAAAGAAAAAAGAAAAAUAAAAAAUAAAAAAUAAAAAAAAUAAAAUAAGCGCCAAAAUGGAGAAAUGCCCACGAAGUCUCUAGAACUUUCCAUUACAUAGAUAUUUUGCAAUACAAUCACACAUAGGGUUUCACUUCCAUUUAUCGCCUUAGAACAUUCAUUUCGGAGGCUUCUUGUGACACAAAAACAAACCCAACUUCUUAACUGCAUAAACCGCCUUCCCAAAGUAGAAAGAAGCUCCGUAAGCAAAAAGAAAAAGGAAAAAAAAUCUAAAACGUCUCUGUGUGCUUCUGUUUAUUCUAUCAACUGUUCUUAUAGUACUUCAGAACCAUCUCUUCAAUUUUCUUUCAAGUUUAUGUGUAGCUUUGAAUCAACUAACAUCUAUUUAUCCUUUUCUUCCUCCUAAAACUUUACUCGUUGUGUUUUACUUUUGUUCUUCUGUAUACCUAUUUCUCUCUUGCUAGUAUUCAAGUUUGCAUUUUCAGCAGAUCAAAAUAUUUCUGGUUUUUAUUAUUAUUAUUUUUUCCCUGUGAAAUUGACUUUAAUUUUCACAAAAUCCUUGAAUCUGAAUUAAACCCAUCAAGAUUUGAGCAAGUUAUUGGAAGAUUAAUCAUGAAUCGUUCAUACCCAGUUAAGGAUUACACGGGAUCUAGUUCAUCGAAGUCCGGUGGCCGGCCGAUGAUGCCGCCGGUACCACAGCCAAUGGAGGGGCUCCAUGACAUGGGCCCUCCACCGUUUCUCACCAAAACCUUUGACAUGGUGGACGACACGUCCAUCGAUCAAAUUGUGUCUUGGAGCAGAGGUGGUAGUAGCUUUGUUGUGUGGGAUCCUCAUGCCUUCUCUACCAGUCUUCUCCCUAGAUACUUCAAGCACAACAACUUCUCAAGUUUUGUAAGGCAGCUCAACACUUAUGGCUUUAGAAAGAUUGAUCCAGAUAGGUGGGAGUUUGCCAAUGAAGGAUUUCUGAGGGGUCAGAAGCAUCUUCUGAGGAACAUAAGAAGAAGAAAGGCACCUUCUCAGUCUCUCAUUUCCCAACAAGCACUGGGUCCUUGUGUUGAAGUUGGACGGUUCGGAUUAGAUGGUGAAGUUGAUCGUCUGAAGCGUGACAAGCAGGUCCUGAUGGUGGAACUUGUGAAGCUUAGACAGCAACAACAGAAUACCAGAGCCCACCUUCAAGCCAUGGAACUUAAGCUACAAGGGACAGAGAAGAAGCAGCAACAAAUGAUGAGCUUUUUGGCAAGAGCUAUGCAAAAUCCAGCAUUUAUCCAGCAAUUAGUCCAGCAGAAGGAGAAGAGGAAGGAACUUGAAGAGGCCAUUACUAAAAAAAGGAGGCGGCCAAUCGAUCAAGUGUCUAGUAAUUUUGGAGGUCAAUCAAGUAGAAGCGGCGAGGGACUAAAUUCCGUUAAAGUUGAGCCUUUGGAAUUUGGUGAUCCUUAUGAUUUUGAAGUCUCAGAGUUGGAGGCACUUGCAUUGGAAAUGCAGGGGUUUGGCAAAGCAAGAAAUGAGCCGGAAGAAGAAAAUGAAGGGCUUGACCAAUUUAAAAGUGGGGUUAAAGACCUUGAUGAGGGAUUUUGGGAAGAAUUGUUUAAUGAUAAUCUCAAUGAAGAAUUUGAUUUACCUGGGGAUGAAGAAGGUGAAGAGGAAGAUGUGAAUGUCUUGGCCAAUCAAUUGGGUCACUUGGGUUCGAGCCCAAAGUAGGAAGCUAGUCUUGUUCUGCAUAGCUAGUCGUCUACUUCUCUGUUGACUGCAUCAGUAACCAUUUUUUCUGCCUAAAAAUUCCCUAUUGUUUAACUAAUUCUGUCUCACUUUAUAUAGUCUAGAUCCUUUGGAGAAGAAGAAGACGUGAACGUCUUCGCCACCGUUGCAGUACCUCGUGUUGACUUCUUCUGCACAGCUAAUUGUCUACUUCUCCGAUCACUGCAUCAAUCUGUGAAGCUGGACUUGUCUGCAUCACUGGUUGCCUCCUACCUUCUUUUGGACGUAGUUUUCCCAUUGUUGUUUGAUUAAUCUCUCCUUUCUCUCCCUCUCCCUCUCUCCCUCUGUCUGUCUGUCUGUCUGUCUGUCUAUCUAUCUAUCUAUCUAUCUAUCUAUCUCUUUCUCUCCCUCUCUCUCUCCCUGCCCCUCUCUCUCUCUCUCUCUCUCUCUCUCUCUCUCAAUUACCAUAACUUUCAUCUGAGUUUCUUGUUAUUGACAGGAGAAAAGAAUGAUCAAGCAUUGCGCCCAUGGAUAAUAUCUUGUUUCUGUUGUUUCUAACUUCUGUGUUUCUUGUUUGUUUUGUCUCUCCUUGUUCCCCCCUCUUGUACAUCUCUACCUCUCAUUCAUCUCUCUUGAUCAGGUUGCAGAAUUUCUUGGCCACUCUAACAAAGUCCUUAUCAUGAUUUCAAGAUUGCUCUGGAGCUACUGGACUGGAUAUAAUUUGGCUGCAAGUUGCAGAAAACUCAGUUAAGUGAUGUUUUCAAAUUCAAGUUGGUCGGUCAGAUUUUUGUUUAUAAAUUGUCUUUUUUGGUUUUAGUGAGACGGAAUGAGAGGUCGUUGGUGAUGUAACAUUUGUACAAAUAUGUGCUGAACAUGCAAUGAAUGGAUAUUUGGAUUGAUCAAGGUGGAGAUAUGUUUCUCUUUGUUGCUCCAGCUACCUUUGUAAUAUUGAAAGCCCAAUAAGUUCCAAUUGUAUGUGCAAUAUGAUUCCUGUUCAAAAUAGGAAUUGUGUGUGAAAAUAUUGGACAUGGUAUUUUUAUUUAUUUAUUUAUUUUUUUUAGGGUACGUACAUGGUACUAUGUUUCAUUAUCUAUUGGAGGGAUUGUGGCGCAUUCUGUAAUAGCCGGACGGCCACGAU